GAAAGUGCAAAGUAAAAUAUACCCUUACUAUCAAGAUAUGGUCAAUCAAAAAUUCAAGAGUUAGCUUAAAAAAAAUUCAGGGUGUUACAUUAUUUCUCUGCACUAUGUUAUUGUAUUAGGCUUUUUGAGGUAAUGCAUUCGGGGCUGCAGGGUGCUAUGGUCUGGUGUUUUGGUUGGACUGGAGGAUAAUUGUUUUUGUGUACUUGAGGGCCUUACUCUUUGGAUGCUGGCUGAAGAUAAUGAGCGAUUUAGAUAUAAUUCUAGAGUGUGCUUUGAGGCGACAUCUUUAUGACUUUUGUUUUAUAUGGGGUUUAAAGUUUACAAUUAAGGUUUGAGAUUUAAAGUUUGUAAAGCAUAAUAGAAGAUAUUGAAGGCGUAUUUGUGAAUGAUUAUACAUCCUAAUUAUGGGCUUAGAACUUGAGAUAUAUUAAGGUGUGAUGAGACUAGGGAUUCUGAUAAUAGAAGAGAUAUAGGGGUAUUUCUGAAUUGUGCUGUGAUACUACAUCAUUUAUGGACUUAGAAUGAUCUAAAAUUUUAGGGCCUUUUGAUAUAUUAAAAUAUGAUCUUUUAGACGGGAAAUUAUGAUAAUAAGAUAUGAUCUUUUAGACGGGAGAUUAUGAUAAUAAGAUAUGAUCCAUUAGACGGGAGAUUAUGAUUAUAAGAUAUGAUCUGAUAGUGUUUGGUAAUAGUUGUCAAAUUGCGCUAUCGCAGACCUCCAUUUGAAUCGUGUUUCGAGGCUGCAAUUAAGGACUUAAUUCGUACCUCUUCAUAUUUUAGACUUUGAUGUAUCCUGAUCUGAGAUGUUCAGCACUGCUGAGCUGAUUUUUACCUGUAAUCAACCUAUGUUUGAUUGUGCUCUGAGGCCGCUAUAUAUUAUGGGGGGCAAAAGGAUCUUGGUCGCUUCUUCAUACUUUGUGCUUUGACAUUGAAACUCUCCGCUUGCUAGUGCCACUCUGAGGUGCGUAGAACCAUAUUGUAAGAGAGAUGAUUGAACAAUUAUCUGAGCAAUAAUAGACCUAUCUGAUUUGUGUGCUGGAAUGUUUUGGGCUGUCAUUUAUGUUACGAUGAGAUGUGUCGGGGAUUGUGAUAAUAGGAGAGGGAAUCUGAAAAUAGGAUAUAAUAAGGAUUCUGAAAAUAGGACACAAAUUCUUAAAAUAGGAUACCUGAGAACAGGACACAAAUUCUUAAAAUAGGAUAUCUGAGGUGUUUAGCACUGAUGGACUGGUCUGCAUUGAUUUUUAAUUUUUGGGCUUGAUUAUCUCAUUGGUGGUGCAUGUGUGAUGUUAAUUGUUGGGCUUUGAUCUAGAGAAUCUGCUCCAAGUAUUAUGUGAUGUGACUAGACUAGGAGUCUGAUAAUAGGAGAAUCUGAGGGUGUUUAAUACUGAUGGACUAUAAUGUGACUAGGUUUGAUUACACUAGAGGCCAUAUUCGUAUGGGCUCAAAAGGAUCUACAUCUUAGGCUUGAAACUUGAAGAGUCAGCUUGAUGGUGUAACUGUGGGUUGGCUAGAUUGAUAAUGUGAGAGAUAUGACACAGUCUGAUUAAGCUUUCUUCUACUAUGUUAAAAUACAGAAAAAAUGAUUUCUUGUUAUCUCUUAGAUAUGAGGUUUGAGUCACAUAGGCCGAUCUUGAAUGAUUGAAUUAAUGGGAGAUACCGUGUCAAGUCUUUUUUCUUAAGCCAAAAAUGAAAAAAAAAAGAAAAGAUAAGAGCUUUUCUUUUCUAAUGCUAUCUUUUGUUCUAAUUUUUUUAACCUCAGUUCUGAUUCUAUUCAAGUGCAGUGCGUUCAGGCCUGGGCUCCUUUUUUUUUUUCGUGUAUGCUGGUCACCUGUUGGAGGUUAUUGCACACACUUCACACCUUCUGAACCCCAAGUCUCCGUGAUGGUUAAGUGCUGUGAUUGUCAUAUUCGUUGACAUGGGUGAAGUAGAAAUCUGUCCUGCUUAUUGUCGCUACAGUCUGAAGAAGGCUUUUGGUUUAGAUUGGAAGUUUGGUGCCUUGUGAUUGGAUAUAGAGUUGAUAAUAUAGAUCAAUGAAUUGGUGAGGACAAAGAAAGAAAUAAAAAAGGGCGGGUGGGGGGCCUCGCCAAUGCUGCAAAUGGGUGUACGUGAUUGUGAUUCCCCAAGGGUCGUACGUGAGUAAGCCUUUUGGAUCCUCACUAGACUGAAUAUUUGUUUUGGCUGAAAAUUUCUUGUGCAGGUAUAUUUUUUCCACUAGCUUCUCUAAUUAACUAGUUUUGUAUACAGGGAAAUUUUGACCUGAGAGUACCCAAAUAAAUGGACAUGUCCAUAUAUUUUCAGAUCUUAUGCUCCAUACUCUUGUCUAUGUCACCGUGGUUGUACGAAGUAAACUUCUAAUAUAGCUUAGCUGUGCUAAAGAGAUCCUACCUGAUGUCUUCCUUCUUUCCCUUAAUACAAAAAUUUUACUUGAAAACAAGCAUUCUGCUUGUGCUUUGGCUUUCAAUCUCCUGGUCAACUUCUAAUAUAGCUUAGCUGUGCUAAAGAGAUCCUAUCUGAUGUCUUCCUUCUUUCCCUUACUACAACAAUUUUACUUGAAAACAAGCUUGUUCUGCUUGUGCUUUGGCUUUCAAUCUCCUGGCUUGCUUGCUGACACUUUUGGUCUCAUACUGUUCUUUCAAUGAGAUUUUUUUGAAGUGAAAAUAUAAACAGAUUUUUGCUAACAUAUUUGAAAUUUUUUGAGCAAUGGAAGAUUAACAAUACAAUUAAAAAGUCACAUUUUCCUUUCAGUUAGGGAUGCAACAAUCUGAAUAUGGAAAGUUAUUCAUGUGGCAGUUUAUACUUUGAAUGACAGAGCCUUGAAACAACCAGUUAAGAAGACCACAGCAGCAGAGAUGUUAAUGAUCAAAUAGCAAAUUAGAGAAAAACACUGAUGCGGAAAAACAGUUGAAGAUUAUAAUGUAAAUGCUAAAAAAUGGUCUUAGUAAAACACUUGAAGACUAUGAUUAAUAGCAUAGUGUUAAGGAAAUAGUAGAGAAGGGGUCUGAGUAAAUCCUGUCAUGCAAGGACUAUAUAUUGUUUUUUUAUACACAAGAGGAUAUGUUUUCCCUUUUAUAUGCUAGUAAUACUAUGGCUACUUCAUAAUCACUUUUCUAGCCCAGCUUCUCCCUUUUCUGGAAGUCAUAUUGGAUAUCGACAUUCCCAGGUAUCACUACUUUUAUCACUAAAGUAUUGGUUCUGCAAAUGGAGAUGAUUCUCAAGGCUUCAGGAAAAGUUUACCACACUAAAGUGUAACCUUUUGGAACUAAAUUAUUACUGCCAAAAUGAUUCUUCUUCUGAUGCUUUUGCUGCUAAAUGUUUUCUAGCAAACCUUUUUUUACCUCUCAUCUGUUUUUUUUCCUGUAGCAUGAGUGUUUUUCUUGAUCCAUGGGCUACAUAAUGCAGGAUUCGACGUAGAACAAUACCACUACCAUGAUUUCCGAUCUUCCUGUAGUUCAUGCGGGGGUUCUAAUUCUAAUCCUUUCAUUGCAAAGGAAGAUUUCUUUACUUUCAAUUGUAAAUAGAACUGCCAACAAAUCUUGAUUCAUCUGAAAGGUUUGGGUAAAUCUCAUGUUGGAAUUUGUCUGUUUGGAGGUCCAAUUACUUUCCACAAUGGGAUAAUGCAAAUCAUAAUCUUGGAGGAUGUGUAUUGGAGUAUAUAUUCUUAGGCACAAAAUAAUGUAUACACCUAAUCUUGAUAGAAUACUUUACUGUUAUUCUAUGCUUUGCACUUGUAGCACACUAUUUCUAACAAGUUGCAGUCAUUAGCAAACCAACUCGAGAAUUUGAGUAGAUGUCCACAAAAUAGUGCUACUCGGAAUUAGUACUAAUGGAAUAAAUGGGACAUUAAAUGGGUGACAUUGCCAAUAUGUUGACAAAGGGAGUCUCAAAAGAAAUGGUGUGACCUCGUUUCUGUACCUGUUUAGAAUUUCAAAGUGCAGGGUUUAGGCCUUUCUAAAAAAAUUCUUUUACCAUGUAUGCUGCAUAUACAUGUUUUUUGCUGUCUAUCUUGAGGCAUACCUGCUAAAUUUGAAUUUAAGGAAGACUCAAGGAAAGGUGGUUAAUAUGUGUGUGUGUGUGUGUAUAACGAUACUGAACUCUGAUCUGCUAGUGCACUAGAAUUUCUAUUCGCCUUUCACAUACAAGGCUUAGACUCAACAAUUUGACAAAACGUCACUGAAAUUUUCAUUUCUGCUGGAAGAGCAUGCGGUCAGAGAUAUUUUCCAUGCUCUUGAGGUGCCUGAUCUUUGUUUUUUUCCAAACAAAGCUCCUGUUUUGGGACACUGCCGGGAUAAUGAUUUCGAGAACCUCUACAUGAAGUAUGAAAAGGAGGGAAAAAUAAGUCUGCAACUGAGGGUGGGUUGUCCAGGUAGAAUAUCUCUGGUUUGAGAUCUUGAAGUCCCAGAUAGAAACCAGGACCCCUUACAUGUUUUACUUAAGGUCCAACUGAAACUGCUGUGUGCAAUCUCGCCUAGAUUGCUCUUCCACUAUAUAUUAGAGAAAAGGGGGUCACAAGUGAAUCAGAACCAUCUAAGCUAGUCCGCAGCAGGGGAAGUUGGUGCAUUAAUUUUGACAAACUCACAGAGAUUUGAUUAAUUCUGACUAUCAACUCCUCUGACUUGUUGAUUGACAUUGUCUUUGGUUAUAUAGUCUUGGAUCUUGAUCUUGAUAUUUGUGCUGUUUUCCAUUUGAGACAGGUUACUUUAUUUCUCGAUGAAAAUUACUAUCCUAUUGAAACGGCAAAAAGUUCUAAUUACAGCAUAGGCGACUUGGGUCAAGGGUCUGCCAGCCAUAUUUAUUUUGCUUCCCCUAGCGUUUGAUUCCCGGGGGUUGGCCUGUGGACUUCAUUUUUCUCAAGGUGUAUACUUGUUCAGAUAGGUCUGCUUUUUUGUCUUUGUAUUGGCCGAGCAGCUGAACAAGCACAUAUUUGAGAUGACAUGCUACUAUAGUACUAUGUAUAAUAAGCUUCUGCUAAAUUGGCAGCCAACGAAAGUCCACAUGAAACACAUGUAUGCGAGGUAUAUAUCCUUUUAAUCCCAGAUUUAACU